UCGCGCUGCCCAUCGCAUUUGUCGCAUUUUGCGAUUUUUCAGGGAUAAAAUGCGACAGAAAUUCCGGAAAUGCGACACGGACAUUUCGUAUUUUAGUAUUCGCGCGCCAUUUUGAAUUUCAGCUGUUGGCAUCCAAACAGCCUCAGGGCUGUUUUACCUGUGCAGAAUGUGGAUACCCUGUCGCAUGGGAACAAUAAGACUUAGGGGCGUCUUGUUUAUUUAGCAGUUUACACAAAACAAAGGGUUGAUCCUCUAUGUGCAGACUUCAUGAAGUCCCUUCUCCUCUACAUGAUGAGAUUCACCAAAGGACCACUUUGUCAUUCUGGAUUUCAAGAUGAAAACAGGAUUAUUCAGUGAAAAUGUGAUGCGAAACUAUGAUCAUGUGUUAUGUAUUACAGUAAUCAAUUUUCAGUAACUUUGUCAUCAGUGACUUUUUCUAGACUGCAAAUUUAAUGAGUAAUAUAUGUCAUUUACACUACUAAAAUGAUUAAUAAACAUUUAGAAACUCA